UACGUAGGGGGCAAGCGUUGUCCGGAUUUAUUGGGCGUAAAGGGCGUGUAGGCGGCCAGGUAGGUCAGCUGUGAAAACUCGAGGCUCAACCUCGAGACGUCGGUUGAAACCACCUGGCUAGAGUCCGGAAGAGGAGAGUGGAAUUCCUGGUGUAGCGGUGAAAUGCGUAGAUAUUGGGAGGAACACCAGUGGCGAAGGCGGCUCACUGGACCGGAACUGACGCUGGGGCGCGAAAGCGUGGGGAGCAAACAGG
rnacentral:rRNA from 1 species